rnacentral:tRNA from 1 species
UCCCUGGCAGUCCAGUGGUUAGGAUUCAGCGCUUUCACUGCUAAGAGCCUAGGUUCAAUCCCUGGUCAGCGAA